rnacentral:rRNA from 1 species
AGAACCUUACCAGCCCUUGACAUGCCUCGUAUGGGGUGGGGAGACCCACUUCUUCAGUUUGGCUGGCGGGGACACAGGUGCUGCAUGGCUGUCGUCAGCUCGUGUCGUGAGAUGUUGGGUUAAGUCCCGCAACGAGCGCAACCCCCAUCUGCAGUUGCCAUCGGGUUAUGCCGGGCACUCUGCAGAAACUGCCGGUGACAAGCCGGAGGAAGGCGGGGAUGACGUCAAGUCCUCAUGGCCCUUAUGGGCUGGGCUACACACGUGCUACAAUGGCGGUGACAGAGGGAGGCAAGGGUGCGAGCCUGCGCCAAUCUCAAAAAGCCGUCUCAGUUCGGAUUGCUCGCUGCAACUCGCGAGCAUGAAGUCGGAAUCGCUAGUAAUCGCGGAUCAGCAUGCCCGCGGUGAAUACGUUCCCGGGCCUUGUCACACCGA